CGGAGGAGUUGAAUCACAAGUAACCUUAAACCUGCCACUAGACAAAAUAAGCUCAAGAAUAGCAAUAUAUACUACAUUGGUCAAUCCCAUAUCCAAAUAUGUUUUGAUGACAACACCAAUUACCAAUGCUUUGAAAGAUUUGCUUCCAAGGGGAUACAAUAGCAAAGUCACAGACAUCAUAGUUAGCGCUAUCUUGGUCAUGAGCACUGUCAUUGUUGCCCUAGCUGUUCCUUUCUUUGGGUAUCUCAUGUCACUAGUUGGAGCACUUCUAAGUGUCACAGCUUCUAUUCUACUUCCAUGCUUGUGCUACUUAAAGAUUUCAUGCAAUUACAACAAAUUUAGGUUUGAGACAAUAACCAUAGUGGUAAUACUAUUAUCAGGUAUAGCAAUAGGAAUGUCUGGGACAUACAUGUCACUCAAUAAAAUAGUUCAUCAUAUGUCAUAGAGAUGUAAUCAAAUACAGGAUGAUUAGCUAUACAUAGCUGUCAAUUAGCUAGGAAUUAGCGACGAUACUUUUGCUCGCUAACUUACUAGCAUUGACAACUUCCAUAGAUAAUUUGCGGUGUAUCGGUUUUGCUUUGUAAUAGGUAUGGAAAAUUUUCCUCCACCACCCAAAUUUACCUCCACCUUACCUUAUGGAGAUAUGAGAAUAAAAGGGAGGGUGACAGAGAUACAUAUGAUGACUAGUAAGUAUGAACAAAAAAUAAAAUAAAAAAGUUGGCGGAAAUGAAAAAUUACCUUUGAUAUUUCUAAAUUGAAAAGUGCUAAUUUAUGUGCUAGAAAUAUUAUAAUAAAAUAAUAUUAAACUUCAAGUUACUAUAAUCUGAAAAUAUUAUUCAGUUUUUUUUUAAACGAAUCGUAGAAGUGGAAACUCAAUUGUUUAUUAUCUGGUCAAGACGCAUCCACUUUCUCUAAUGUAGUUUGGGUGGAGGAGAUUCCUUCUGAGGCUUUAUCUUUUGUAAACUCUGAUGCAUUGUUUUUUAUGCAUGUUUCUUCAUAAUAUAUUCAAGGUUGAUUUCAAAAAAAAAAUAACGACACUUAAUUUUAUCAAUUUCUUUAAUGUCAAGGACGGAACGAGAAAAGUUGGGUAAAAGGGCGAAAAUUUAGUAUAUAAAGCAAAAUUAACCGUCACUAAGUGAAAUAGACAGUAUGAUUUUUUCUUUAGUGAAUAUCCAAUUGGGUCCCGAACUUGUGCGCUUAUAGUAGGUUGGUCCUCCAACUUAGAAAAUAGCUUCAUAAGCCCCUUAACUUGCAAAACGCUUUUACAUUGGUCCUGUUUCAUUUCAGCCAUUAGUCCUUGAGACGGAAAAGAUCACGUGUCACAUUAUGUGCCAUGUGGGUUUCAAUCUGGUCCCUGACAUUCUCAACUUAAUCUCAAUUUAGUUGUCGCGUUGAAAAAUGAAAUUUCUCUCCCUUCACCACCCCUUUUUUCUCCACAACCACUACCCUUCUUCCACCCUCAGACUUCACCCUUUCACUCUCCACCACCACCACCACCCUUCUCUCACCCCUCUUUUCCUUCACCCAUUCUCACUAGCCCCACUCUUCUCUCCCUUGUGUUCAUUUCAUUCUUCAACGCACAAACUAAAUUGGCUUUAAGUUCAAAAUGUUAGGGACCAAAUUGAAACCCAUGUGACACAGGACGCGAUACGUGAGCUUUUCCAUCCAUGGACUAACGGUAGAAAAGUAAAAGGACCAACGUGAAAGUGCUUUGCAAGUUGAGGGACUUCUGAAGAUAUUUUCUAAGUUACGUUGGAGGGCCAACCAGCCAUAGGUUUACAAGUUAAAGGACCAAAUUAGGCAUUCACACACAGAAAAAUUUAGAGGGCGAAAAUAAUAUUCUAUUGAAAUAUUUUUCACUUAAAGGGUGACCGCCCCAGUUUAGUACAUGUAGGUCCGUCCCUGAAUAGUGCAACACUUUUUUCUUAACAUAAGUUUAAAUGGAGCCCUUCUAACCUACAAUAACAAAUAACCUCGAAUAUGUGAGUGAGGUUCUCGGCCCAACUAGUAUCUAACCUACCAAUUUUUGCUGAUUCUUUUCUUCUUUGAUAACAUGAACCUGGACCGUAAAAAAAAAACAUUAACCUGACUUGUUAAAAAAAGGCUAAAUAGCUCUUUUGGUCCCUCACUUAUCACGAUUUUUCACUUUUGGUCCCCAAUAAAAAAAAUUAGCACUUUUGGUCCUCUACAAACUACAUUGCUUAAUUUUUUGCAAAAAUGAUCCCUACUUGGAACUAAACGGAAAAAGUGUGUAAAGAUAAGUGAGGGACAAAAAGAGCUAUUAAGCAAAAAAAAAAAACAUUAACCUGACUUAACAUUUAAAACCUUUAAAACAAAGAUCGCUCCUCAAACUAGAAACUGGGCCGAUGUCCAUGUAUGUCCUUGACCCACAUACAAUUUUAAGCAAACGUAAGAGUCUAAUUCAAUCAUAAUUUUUUUUAUAGAUUUAUACCUAAUUCUUUUCCAUUUCAUUUUCAUUCUCUCUCUCUCUCCCUCCCUCCUUAACCGGGGACGAGCCCCGACUUCCAAAGGUCCUUUCCUUGGUUCCCACCCUCCCAUAUCAAUAGGUGGAGGUGAAAUUAAAAUGUCAAUUAAAUUAUUUUCCAUUACGAAAUUAGCACAUUUCUAGAAACCCUACGAGAGAGUAGUGUCUUCAGAGAGAUCAAGAGAGAGAGAGAAACGAGGUGUCAGAGCUCGCAACGCGGUGGUUGCGUGUGAAGCUUUCGGCCACCAAAGAUGAGAUAAGUGAAGGUUUGGGAAGCGGUUCAUAGCAGGGGAGACACCAAGGAUGGUAGUCGAGGUAUGGCGCGACUCAUGAGGGUUUGUUAUGGUUUGAAAGGAGAUGAAAGGGGCUUGGGAGGCCGAAGAACUUUUAAUUAUGACAAAUAUUAGCAGCCAUUAUAAACCGCCACAAAAUUGUGUGUCGAUUUAUGGCCAACUAAAACCAUAUGUUUACUAAUCAUUUGUGUUCGCUGUGGUGGCGAGCGGUUGUUGGAACCAAGAAAGUGAUUAUAUUGGUUUUGUAAUCCUACCAUAUUACUCCCUCCGUCCCCAUUUAUAAGUCACAUUUUGAGAGUUUUUUUAGUCUCAAAAUAUAAGUCACUUUAGAGUACCAAUGAAACAUUUCUUACAUUUUUCCAAAUUUACCCUCAUAUUUAAUAUGAAAGAGAUGGUGUGGUUUUGAAAAUUUCUUUAAUUGGAGAGAGAAAUUGAUGGAUAAUUUUGGAAAGUUAAUAAAGCUUUUUACAAAUUUAUUGCUAAUAACAACUUUUCUUAAUCCUAGAAAAUUAGGUAAAAGUGACUUAUAAUAGGGGACAGAUUAGAGGGAGUAAAUUUUAGCUCAUAAAUCAUAAAUUCCACCACCACAUGAGCGAGGACUAAUUAAGAGUUGAUCUAUCUUGACUAAUCUAAUGUCCGGAUCCAAGUCUAAGAAUGUAGCUAAAUUAAUUAAGCUCACAAAGAAAAACUUUGCUAAUAUAGUGUUUCUAGCAAACUAGAGCCGAACUUUGACUUGAAUCGGGACCAUCAAUUUGCUUGCCAAAUGAAUACGUCUUGUACUUAAUUAGAUGAAGUAAUAACCAAAUACAAAAACACACUCCUUCUCUACCAAUUUCAGGUAUAACGGUUCUUGCAAUGAUUUGCCACAUAUUUCUUAAUGGAUUUAAAUUUAAUGAUUUGCCAAAUAUGUAAUGCCAUGUCUUUGUUGCUGAUUAUUGUUUCAUGCAAGUAAAUAUACAGUUGGUGAUGUUGUCUAGUCUUUUUUGCAUAUAUCCCAUGCUUUUUGGUAACGAUCACACACACUCUCAGAGUUGAACAUUUAGAUAUUUUGGCCAGCUGAUACUUAGAUUGCGACCCACCACCUAUUAUAUAUACGUAUACUAAACCUUAUAAAUUUGCAAACCACGAGAUAAUCCAAGUUUUCUCAUCAGAUUUUGUCCCAAUGGAAGAAAAACAUGGCAACUAUUCCUAUGAGCUACGUUGUGCCACAGAUGCGGAGAAAACUAUUGUCACUUCCCCUCCUACCACAAAUUGUAACGUGUCUUUCUUUCGCACGUGUUUUAACGGACUCAAUGCAAUAUCAGGUUUUCCUAUAUCCACAACACACCCCAUUUUUUAGUUAUAUGAAUUUCUUUUUUUUCUUCAAUAAAAUCAUCUGGAUGUUUGAGGACACUUGUUGGACUUAGAAGUAUGGACCCAAAUUGAUUCUCUAGGUUCAAGAGAGUAUAUUAGGCUUAGUUGUGAAUCUAGUGUGGUCUAAAAAUGGCUUGAGACACUUGUUGACUUAUAUACAUUCACUUGUAUAUUAUAAAUUGAUUUUAGUUGUAGACCCACGAAUGAGGGACUUUCUAGUUUUCUUGUUCUACAUGAGUCUGCACUCAGGUCGAACCUCAGCUGAGCUCAGGUGACAAAUUUUUUUUCUUUUAUGUUUUGUCAUUGGGCCCAUUCCUUCUUUUUUGUAACCUUAUUUUUCUCUUUUUUUGAUAUAUAGAUUUUUCGUGAGUCCACUUGUUGGACUUGGAAGCGUAGACCCAAAUUAGUUCUCAAGGUCGAAAAGAGUGUACUAAACUUAGUUGUGUUUCAAAAAAAGAACUUAGUUCUGGGUGUGGUGUGAUGCAGAAAUGCCUUAACAUGUUUAAGAAGCUCCUACAUAUUCACUAAUACAAUAUGAUUUUAGUUGUAAACCCACCAAUUUGGGGCAUUCUAAUUUUUAACAAGCACAUUAAUAUCGGUAGAUGUUCCUCUUGAAAUAUCAAAUUUUAUCCUGGGUUAGGCAACCUAACUCUAAAGCUAGCUCAGAGUUAAUUAUGUCUAACUCGAAUUCUAAAAUUGUAUUAGAUCUUAUCCAAGAUUCAUUUAUUUGGUCAUUCAUAAAUAAAUUCCCUCAUAGAUUUCCAAUUCUGAAACAACACAGUCUUGAUUUACCAAAUUCUGAAUGUGAGUGUGUUAAGAUUACAUAUUGACUACACAAAUAUGAUAGUAUAAGUCCUUAUAAAUGGUAGAACAUUUUUUUUUCCUUGCACUAGCUUUCCAAAUAGAGCUAGUACUAACAUGAGUUCUAAAACUUUAUGUGUGACAAUAUAAUGCAUGUAUCAUUCUGAUUUCGCCAUGUCUUAUUUAAUGUUUGGCUUAAAUACUCUGUAGGUCCCUGAAAUUGUACCCCGUAUCAAAAUAAGUCCCUAAAAAAACAAUUCCAGGGAUCCGGAAUCGGAAAAAAAAUUUUCAGGGACUUAUUUUGAUACGGGGUACAAUUUCAGGGACCCCUAGAGUAUUUAAGCCUUAAUGUUUUUCCUUAACAUUUGGUGUCAUCCCAACCUCAAGAUGUUGUUGGAAUAGAGUCAUAUAAGAUGCUAAUGUCUUGUGUGGCUUUGGUUUCCAGGUGUUGGGAUACUUUCGAUUCCAUUUGCUCUAGCAUCCGGAGGGUGGUUAAGCUUAAUUCUUCUAUUUGUUAUUGCUGUUGUAACCUUUUACACAGGCUUGUUGAUAAAGAAUUGUAUGGACAAGAAUGCGAAUAUUAGAACCUAUGCUGAUAUAGGUGAGCUUGCAUUUGGAAAGAUAGGAAGACUAACAGUAACAAUAUCCAUAUACACCGAGCUCUUCUUGGUUUCAACAGGCUUCUUGAUUCUUGAAGGAGAUAAUUUGAGUAACUUAUUCCAUAUUGGGGAGAUUCAAGUGGCUGGAUUAGCAAUUGGUCGAAAACAUUUCUUUGUAGUACUGGUUGCUCUUGUUAUCUUGCCUACAGUUUUCAUGAACAACUUGGGUCUACUUUCUUACAUAUCUGCAAGUGGUGUGUUUGGGACUGGUAUCAUCAUCUUAUCAAUAUUAUGGACUGCAACAUUUGAUGGAAUUGGUUUUCAUCAAAAGGGAACUCUUGUUCAUUGGAAUGGAAUCCCAACAGCUAUUAGCUUGUACACCUUCUGUUUUGGUGCACAUUCACUCUUCCCUACUCUAUAUAAUUCCAUGAGAAACAAACAUCAGUUUUCUAGUGUAAGUGCUUUCCCUUUUGGGUGUGUUUGCUUCUGAUUAAUCUCUUUCUCAACAAAUUUUGUUUUCUUAAUGUUUCAGGUCUUACUUGUAUGCUUUAUUCUAGCCACCAUUGGUUAUGCAUCCAUGGCUAUAAUUGGUUACCUAAUGUUUGGUGGAGAAGUUGAAUCACAAGUAACCUUAAACCUACCACUAGACAAAAUAAGCUCAAGAAUAGCAA
rnacentral:lncRNA from 1 species